CUCGUUUCCUUACUGUAAAAUGUACCUCCGUUUCUAAUGAUCCACAAAAAAGUAAUCUCCCUUGGAAAUUUUUUGAAGAAUUCUCCACAAUUGUUAUUUGGUGACGCUUACUAAUGCAAUAAAUAUCCAAUAAUGCUAAGAUUUGGGUUCGGGCAUUUCAAAAUGGACAAGUCUUAGUGUACAUUACAUAGAAAUGUUCACACCUCUCACAUGGGGUGGGGCCCACUUCGCAUGAGUCCCACCCCAUGCGAGGAGUGUAGACACUCUCUAUGUAUCCAAAUUAUUUAUACCAAGCACAAUCCUUUCAAAAUAGUCACAAUUUUUUCUCAUAUAAAACUUGCACUGCAUGAUAAACAACGGAAUUCAUUUAUGCAUAACAAAGUUAGUACAUACCCCUAUCAAUACAUAAUAAAAAUAGCACUAUUAUAUGUUUAGUAUCUAGACAGUAAAUUAGACAACCACUUUUUAUCCACAUAUUCUGUGGGAUCCACAAGCAAUAUCCAUUUAUCCAUCACUUAUUCUAUCAUUUUAUAAUUCAUAUCGUUUACACACAACUGCCAGACAUGCUUUUAAGACAGAACAUUCACAACUCAAAAAUAGUGGAAAUACAUACCUUGGAACAAACUUUUACACUAGUAUCUUGGGUACAUUAAACACCAUUGCAGGUCAGUCUAUGACCUGUGAAACCUAAAGAUGGGCACCAAGAAGAGAGCAUAUCCUCGGAUUGCCGGCAGGAAUGCAUAUUAAAAGAGAGAGAUGAGCAUCAACAUGACAAUGUUUGGCUAAAUUUAAAAAGUGUAAAGUCAUAAAAAAAAUGUAGAACUCCUAUCUGCCGUAUUAAAGCCAUUGGAAAUGCCACAUGACAAAAAACUAUUAUGACAAUAAGGUACAAUUUACUUGCAUAUAAGUAACCUUUUUUCAUAGUAGGCGGAAAAGUCACUUAACCAAACAUGUUUAUAAACAAAAAGUUACUUGCAUUAUUAAGCUUAGCCAGACAUGCACCAUAUUCAAAAAACAAACUACUUGAAAACCAAAGUUGCCCAAAGCUUUGCAUGCGCACAGCUUGAAUUGCCAGCACAAAUAUGAAUCCAUAUACAACAAGCGUGGCAAAAGUUACAACAAGCUUUGCACAUACCAGCUUGAAUUCAGAUGUUUCAAAUGGUUCAGGAAUGAUACAAGUACCCAAGAAACUCAUAUACCAAGUUCAACAUAAAUAUAUAAACAGUCUAGAUUGCAUAAAGAACUUAAAUGCCAUAUAAAAUCAAGCAGCUACUAACAAAUGCAACUUAAUUCGAAAAAAGCAAUCUAGGUUUCUCUCAGAGGCCUAGAUGAAUGGUAUUAUUAAAUAAGAUUGACUUUACAUAGCUUUCAGGGCCAAGAAUACAAUAGCUAUUUUCCGAACAAAUUAACCAAUAGAAGUUAAAAAUCCUUGCUAAAAUUCUGCACUUGUUAAAUCAGAGGAGUUGAACUCGAAACUAUGCCUAAAAGUGAUAAUGGAGAAAAUAAGGGGAAAAAAAUCAGCAAGUCGUACAACACAAUUCUGGUCCUCUGAGUACAUUCAAUUUCAAGAAACAAAAACAAAAUUCUUCCUCACUAAGUAUCCAAGACUUGAAAAUUACAGGUCUAAAUGUAUAAUGAUAAACCAUUACAACUAAGUAAAAAUUCAUUCAUAGUACUUUAGCUAAAACUGAUAAAAGACAAUCAAGUAUUGAAAAUGCAACAGGGUAGCAAAUGUGUACCUAUCUCAUCUUCAUAAACUGAUGUAGGAUAAUCAUAUUGCAAAUAGGAUAGGAAUUCAUUUCGUAUUGUAUUAGGAUUUUAUUUCUUGUUUAAAUUAAAACUUUU
rnacentral:lncRNA from 1 species